AUUGUCACUCUGUUGAUUGAACUCAUGAUGGACGAACCGAAGUUGUUUACAUAGACUACAUCCCUUAUAAAUUUACUGAAAAUAUCCUUUUCCAACGUGCAUCGUCUCAUUGAUCAACAUUGAAUCACAGCCCGCUCCAAAGUGGACAACGGACACAGUUUAUUUUUUGAAAAUUUCACCGACUAUGAAGGGUGUGUCUUGCUGCUGGUUCACAUGCAUUCCCAGCUCCUAAAGGCUACAGUGGACAGAUGAAGGCUCAAGCCAUUAACCAUCUCAUCAGAAAUUUACAGGGCCGGGUCGCGGAGGCAGCAGUCUAAGCAGGGACUCCCAGACUUCCCUAUCCACGCACUCUUCCUCCAGCUCUUCUGGGGGAACCCCAAGGCGUUCCCAGGCCAGCCGAGAAACAUAGU